CUCCUUUUGUCUCACCUUUGGAUAUCUUUUCUUCCCCACUCUGCUUCCACCCGGCCCGAAUCAGGCUCACCGUAUCCAUUGAGCAGCUCACCGCACACACUCGCACGGGAUGGAGGGACGAAAGAGGGUAGGUGCGGCAGUUCGUUGACGGUGGCCGCGGCGGCUCCGUGCAGGGAGGCAGAGGCCCGUCGACGCCAUGGACGCGCCUGCGAUGGGGGGCGACGCUAUGGGAGUCCUCCCCGAGGGCGUUCUCCCAUCGGCGAGUGGGGUUCUCGCCCUCCAUGGGAUCUCGCCGCGGUUGGAGGUGUGGAUGGUGGCUGGCGCGGCGGCAUGCCCGGAGACCGUGGCGGAGGAUCUCCUCCGGGCGGCUGACCCUGCAGGGGCUGCCGUGGUGGCGUGCUCAAGCACUCAUGCUUGGGGCGGCUCCGACGACGCUUGAGGAGCUGCACAAUUGCAGAGUGCAGGCGGUCGUCCGGGGAGCGCGCGCCGUCAGCGCUGGCGGAGAGGAGCGGCGGGAAGACGACGCGUCCGACGGCGCGUCUACGACGUGAGGCUCGGAUUGCUGGUAAGGCCGAGGCUGUGCGUGCAACAUCCUCCAGGCGGCGCUGAACAGGGCAGGUGCGGGUGAAUGAGGAGGUCGCCUUCAUCCCGGCGAGAUCCAGUGUCCCCGCAGUCGCCGUACGUUGGAGCGUUGUGGCAGCUCGCCAGGAUGGCUCGCGCUGAUGCUAGGCACCAUCGCUGGUCUCCAUGCCCAAUGGCCAGAGAUGGCUCGCGCCGGUGCUCUAUGCGUCGAUGGUCUUCACGCCCGGUGCCAGGUUGGCCCAGCUCGGCGUGCCCCUGUGGCUGCGUUCCUAUUCUGCAACACUACCAGCAAAAGGAGCAAGCCGGGGGCGUUCACCAAUUGUUCGAUCUUGUACUUCAUCCCCUCUCCACGCUUCGACCCGCCAAAUCCCAUCAGGAAACUUUUUGCAAAGUGAGCAGUGCUUUCAACCCCUAUGUCAUUCCCUCUCAAUGAUUUAUUUGAUCAUGUCGUGCAUGAAUGCCUGUUAAAAACAUUCACGAGAUACCUGUUUAGAACAUUCAGGUAAUGCCGAGUGAGCAUAUUCCCUCUCUUCACGUUGCUACUGAUGUAUGCGUAGUGGACAUUGGCCCAUGAAUCAACCAUUUUACUUUCCGAUUCAACGAA